UGGGGAAUUUUGCACAAUGGGGGAAACCCUGAUGCAGCGACGCCGCGUGAUUUAGAAGGCCUUCGGGUUGUAAAAAUCUUUUCUAUGGGAAGAAAAUGACAGUACCAUAGGAAUAAGGACCGGCUAAUUACGUGCCAGCAGCCGCGGUAAUACGUAAGGUCCGAGCGUUGUCCGGAAUCAUUGGGCGUAAAGGGUACGUAGGCGGGUAAGCAAGUUAGAAGUGAAAUCCUGUAGCUCAACUACAGUAAGCUUUUAAAACUGCUCAUCUUGAGAUAUGGAAGGGAAAGUGGAAUUCCUAGUGUAGCGGUGAAAUGCGCAGAUAUUAGGAGGAAUACCGGUGGCGAAGGCGACUUUCUGGCCAUAAUCUGACGCUGAGGUACGAAAGAGUGGGUAGCAAACAGG
rnacentral:rRNA from 1 species